rnacentral:misc_RNA from 1 species
GUGAAUCAUCGAAUUUUUGAACGCAAAUUGCACUCUCUGGUAUUCCGGAGAGUAUGCCUGUUUGAGGGUCAGUUUAAAUAAAAAUGGUGUUGUUGGCGCCCUUUCUGGUUGACGGACCGGAUUGGGUUGUUCUUGCCUUGGUUUAGGGGACCUAAAUUUUUGCAUGAUUUUUGUCGGACGUAUUUUAAUUUUUGUACGUACGUUUUCGAGAUCGAAUA